rnacentral:lncRNA from 1 species
UUCUCUUGCUCUCUCUUUUUCUAUUCGAAUUCGAAGUUGGAACUAUCUCUCCCUCCCGCGCCUUCGGGUUCUUCUAACGCAUCUUCCUCUUCGAUUCCAACGCGCAUCUUUCCCCAUCGCAUCGUCUUCGAUUCGAACACGCAACUUUCUCUAUCAUCUUCGAUUUGGAAUUACAAUGGUUGGUUUCACUCUACUUUUUUUGAAUUUAGGGUUACAUGAGUGAUUUUUUAUAAGUGAUUUGAUUUCAUGCUUUUGCUGCUUUCAAUUAUUCUCACUUUUGUAUUUAUUAUUGAAUUUGGAACGUAAGUUGUGUAUUUAUUGUGGGAAUAAUUCUGAAUAAUUCUUGGUUAGUUUUGUAUUUAUUGGAUUUGGAACACAAAAUUUGAUUUCAGUAAAAUCUGUGGUGUUUUGUUUUUGCUGAAAUCACAGGAGGACAUGGAACGCAAAUUUGAGCAAAGGUUUGCUAGAAUGGAAGCUCAAAAUGCAGAAACCGCCAAGAAAAUUUUCGGAAUCUUGGAGAGUUUAAUUCAGAAGGUCAACUCGAUCGAGAAGCCUCUUGCUGAUAGUGCUG